rnacentral:rRNA from 1 species
GACAGAGGGGGCAAGCGUUGCUCGGAAUUACUGGGCGUAAAGGGCGCGUAGGCGGGAUGGCAAGUCGGUCGUGAAAUCCUUCGGCUCAACCGAAGAACGUCGAUCGAUACUGCUGUUCUUGAGGGUUGCAGAGGAGACUGGAAUUCCCGGUGUAGCGGUGAAAUGUGUAGAGAUCGGGAGGAACACCGGUGGCGAAGGCGGGUCUCUGGGCAAUUCCUGACGCUGAGGCGCGAAAGCGUGGGGAACAAACGGG